rnacentral:rRNA from 1 species
CCUACGGGUGGCAGCAGUGGGGGAUAUUGCACAAUGGGGGAAACCCUGAUGCAGCGACGCCGCGUGGGCGAAGAAGUAUUUCGGUAUGUAAAGCCCUAUCAGCAGGGAAGAAGAAUUGACGGUACCUGAGAUAGAAGCACCGGCCAAAUACGUGCCAGCAGCCGCGGUAAUACGUAUGGUGCAACCGUUAUCCGGAUUUACUGGGUGGAAAGGGAGCGCAGGCGGCACGGCAAGCCUGAUGUGAAAGCCCGGGGCCCAACCGCGGGACUGCUUUGGGAACUACCGGGCUGGAGUUCCAGUGAGGUAGGCGGAAUUCCAAGUGUAGCGGUGAAAUGCGUAGAUAUUAGGAGGAACACCAGUGGCGAAGGCGGCCUACUGGACGGUGACUGACGCUGAGGCUCGAAAGCGUGGGGAGCAAACAGGAUUAGAUACCCGGGUAGUC